rnacentral:rRNA from 1 species
GGGGAAUUUUCCGCAAUGGGCGAAAGCCUGACGGAGCAAUACCGCGUGAGGGAGGAAGGCUCUUGGGUUGUAAACCUCUUUUCUCAGGGAAGAAUGAUGACGGUACCUGAGGAAUAAGCAUCGGCUAACUCCGUGCCAGCAGCCGCGGUAAUACGGAGGAUGCAAGCGUUAUCCGGAAUGAUUGGGCGUAAAGCGUCCGCAGGUGGCAAUGUAAGUCUGCUGUCAAAGCGUCUGGCUCAACCAGAUAAAGGCAGUGGAAACUACAUAGCUAGAGUAAGGUAGGGGUAGAGGGAAUUCCUGGUGUAGCGGUGAAAUGCGUAGAGAUCAGGAAGAACACCGGUGGCGAAAGCGCUCUGCUGGACCUUAACUGACACUGAGGGACGAAAGCUAGGGGAGCGAAUGGGAUUAGAUACCCCAGUAGUCCUAGCCGUAAACGAUGGAUACUAGGCGUUGCCCGUAUCGACCCGGGCAGUGUCGUAGCUAACGCGUUAAGUAUCCCGCCUGGGGAGUACGCAGGCAACUGUGAAACUCAAAGGAAUUGACGGGGGCCCGCACAAGCGGUGGAGUAUGUGGUUUAAUUCGAUGCAACGCGAAGAACCUUACCAGGGCUUGACAUGUCCGGAAUCCUGACGAAAGUUAGGAGUGCCUUCGGGAGCCGGAACACAGGUGGUGCAUGGCUGUUGUCAGCUCGUGUCGUGAGAUGUUGGGUUAAGUCCCGCAACGAGCGCAACCCUCGUUCUUAGUUGCCAUCAUUAAGUUGGGAACUCUAAGGAGACUGCCGGUGACAAACCGGAGGAAGGUGGGGAUGACGUCAAGUCAGCAUGCCCCUUACGCCCUGGGCUACACACGUACUACAAUGCUAUGGACAAAGGGCAGCAAGCCAGCAAUGGCAAGCAAAUCUCGUAAACCAUGGCUCAGUUCAGAUCGCAGGCUGCAACUUGCCUGCGUGAAGGUGGAAUCGCUAGUAAUUGCAGGUCAGCAUACCGCAGUGAGUUCGUUCCCGGGCCUUGUACACACCGCCCGUCACACCAUGGAAGCUGGUCACGCCCGAAGUCGUUACCCUAACCUUUCGAGGAGGGGGACGCCGAAGGUAGGACUGGUGACUGGGGUGAAGUCGUAACAAGGUAGCCGUACCGGAAGGUGUGGCUGGAUCACCUCCUU